rnacentral:rRNA from 1 species
GACAGAGGGUGCAAACGUUGCUCGGAAUUACUGGGCGUAAAGCGCGUGUAGGUGGAUUGGUGUGUCAGAUGUGAAAUCCCUGGGCUCAACCCAGGAACUGCACCUGAAACUACCAGUCUUGAGUGGUGGAGAGGGAAGUGGAAUUCCUGGUGUAGAGGUGAGAUUCGUAGAUAUCAGGAGGAACACCAGUGGCGAAGGCGGCUUCCUGGACACCAACGUGAC